rnacentral:rRNA from 1 species
UACGGAGGGGGCAAGCGUUAUUCGGAAUCAUUGGGCGUAAAGGGCGCGUAGGCGGCUUGGCAAGUCAAAGGUGAAAUCCCUCGGCCUAACCGAGGAACUGCCUUUGAAACUGCUUGGCCUGAGGCCGGGAGAGGGUAGCGGAAUUCCCAGUGUAGCGGUGAAAUGCGUAGAUAUUGGGAGGAACACCAGUGGCGAAGGCGGCUACCUGGACCGGUUCUGACGCUGAGGCGCGAAAGCGUGGGGAGCAAACAGG